UUGGCUAAUCCUGGUCGGACAUCAGGAGGUUAGUGCAAUGGCAUAAGCCAGCUUGACUGCGAGCGUGACGGCGCGAGCAGGUGCGAAAGCAGGUCAUAGUGAUCCGGUGGUUCUGAAUGGAAGGGCCAUCGCUCAACGGAUAAAAGGUACUCCGGGGAUAACAGGCUGAUACCGCCCAAGAGUUCAUAUCGACGGCGGUGUUUGGCACCUCGAUGUCGGCUCAUCACAUCCUGGGGCUGAAGUAGGUCCCAAGGGUAUGGCUGUUCGCCAUUUAAAGUGGUACGCGAGCUGGGUUUAGAACGUCGUGAGACAGUUCGGUCCCUAUCUGCCGUGGGCGCUGGAGAACUGAGGGGGGCUGCUCCUAGUACGAGAGGACCGGAGUGGACGCAUCACUGGUGUUCGGGUUGUCAUGCCAAUGGCACUGCCCGGUAGCUAAAUGCGGAAGAGAUAAGUGCUGAAAGCAUCUAAGCACGAAACUUGCCCCGAGAUGAGUUCUCCCUGACUCCUUGAGAGUCCUGAAGGAACGUUGAAGACGACGACGUUGAUAGGCCGGGUGUGUAAGCGCAGCGAUGCGUUGAGCUAACCGGUACUAAUGAACCGUGAGGCUUAACCUU
rnacentral:rRNA from 1 species